AUGGCCGUAACACAAUGUGUACUUGGAAGAGCAUUAUGAAGAGGGAAAUAUGGUAUUAAUUCGUUGAAUAGGCACACCAAACAUGCCAGGAACUGGAAACUGAGUAAAGGUUCCUGGGAAACCAUAUGAACACUAACCAAGUAUUAUGAGCGAGAGUGUAUUUACGUAACCCAUGCAUUUUGAACCCUUGAAGUCAUAUUAACCCACAGCCAAGCGCUCUGUAUCAAAGGCCGCCAAAGAUUAUAAAACGCAACAAGUAUUACAGAACAUUCCAGUUCAUAACAGAUUGGUUUGUUCUGAUAAACAGAUUGUUCACGAGACAGAUGGGUUUCAACCUACAACUUUAUUUUCAUGAAGCAGACAGGAAGUUCAAGCAGAUACUUGGCAUUAGUUCACUUUGGUUAGCCCUGGAUGCAGCACAGUGCAAGCCAAGAAACCUAAUCGAGAUGGGCGUGAAUAGAACAAGGAGACUAAUAGACUUCCUGGUUGAUGAAGGUACCAUGGUAAAGUAACGGACAUAAAUCAUUUUUACAGUUAUGACUAUUCUUGUUGUCAUCUUGAUUGUUUUUGGCUCACCUGUGAGCCUUUACAAUGAUGCAGCGUCCGUCGUCCGUCGUUAAACAUGGGUGACACGUUUUGUUACCACUGAAGCUAUUGAACUCCAACUUGGUACACAUGUACCCUUUGGUGACCGC